UACGUAGGGGGCGAGCGUUGUCCGGAUUUAUUGGGCGUAAAGAGCUCGUAGGCGGUGUGUCGCGUCGGCCGUGAAAACCUGCAGCUUAACUGUGGGCUUGCGGUCGAUACGGGCAUCACUGGAGUUCGGCAGGGGAGACUGGAAUUCCUGGUGUAGCGGUGAAAUGCGCAGAUAUCAGGAGGAACACCGGUGGCGAAGGCGGGUCUCUGGGCAGUAACUGACGCUGAGGAGCGAAAGCGUGGGUAGCGAACAGG
rnacentral:rRNA from 1 species